UUGGAGAUGGCGAUUCGGGUUUUCGGGUUCGGGUCUAAAAGCUUGGAUAUUAGCCUCCGAGCUUCAGGUGAGAACCAUGGCGGACACUUGAAAUCUCCUCUGUAAAUCUUCUUAUACAUCGCCACCAAGUUAUCAUCUUGAAACGGUAAAAACCCGGCGAUUAGAACGUAUAAAAUCACCCCACAAGACCAAAUAUCCGCCUUGGCUCCGUCGUACCCUUUUUUUCCAAUGACUUCCGGCGCCACAUACGCCGGCGUUCCGCAAGUCGUGUGCAACAACCCGUCUUGUUUCAAAUGUUCCGUGAAAGCGCUGAGUCCGAAAUCGGUGACCUUCAAGUUGCCUUCUUCGUCUAAGAGAAGAUUCU
rnacentral:lncRNA from 1 species